CACCAGCGCCACGAGUGGGGAUCGUAAUUAUUGGGCCUAAAGCGUCCGUAGCCGGCCCGGCAAAUCUCUUGUGAAAUCGCAGGGCUUAACCCUGCGGCGUGCAGGAGACACUGCCGGGCUUGGGAUUGGGAGGGGCAGCAGGUAUGCUCGGGGGAGCAGUAAAAUGCUAUAAUCCCUUGUAGACCACCGGUGGCGAAGGCGUGCUGCUAGAACAAUUCCGACGGUGAGGGACGAAAGCCAGGGGAGCAAUCCGG
rnacentral:rRNA from 1 species